UAAGUAAGUGGUGGAAAUUAAACCAAAUGGGAUAUCUUUAGUGAUUGCGAAUGAACAAGGAUAUGCUUAGCUUGACAAAUGGAGCUAUUGGCUUUGAAUUGUAUUUGUGGAAUGUAUUACCAACAGAGGUGCAGGUGCCAGCCUAUUAAAUAAAGCGUCAAUGAGGGUGAGAAUCCUGUUUGUCAUGUGCAGCCCUUUGUGCACGGUGUAUAUUUGCUGAGUCACACUCCUUGGCAUUGGAAUGCAAAGUGGGUGGUAAGUUUCAUGUACAGGUAAACAUGCAAUUGAGACUGAUAGCACACAAGUACCAUGAGGGAAAUAUGAAAAGGACUCUGAAAAGAGAAUUAAAUGAGUUUGUAUUUGCUGAACACAAAGUAAACAGACUUGAUUUGCUUGGUGGGAGUGUUGCACUUGCUUGACAAGAGCUUUGGGCUGUGGGUGUAAUGAUUCUUUCUUUGCAUGCCAGUUUCUAUGUGUACAUCUGAUUACCUUUGCACAUGAAUGAUAAGCCUCCUGUGGGGGGUGGAUUGCAUGUGCAUGUAAUGAUUUGUGUUUUGAUAAAUGUGUCUGGUGUAUGUGUGUGUGUUCCUGUGCUUGGGGAUGCUUCCUUCCUUGGACUUACAAGCCCUGACACACACAUGCUGGCAAAAUGCUUCUGCUUGACCCG
rnacentral:rRNA from 1 species